CAAAAUUGUGGUUGAUGCUUUUACUCGCGGACGGCACAACAAUAUUUCAUGCAUAUUUAUAACUCAAAAUCUAUAUAUGGGUGGAAAGCAUGCAAGGAAUAUUAGCCUGAACUCUUCUCAUUUCCUCUUAUUAAGACAGCGCGAUUUAGCUCAAAUUCACAAAGACAUUAGGUUAAUGACCAGGGCCCAGAUUCACUAACGCCUCGCAGAUACGACAAUCUUAAGUGGAUCCAAUAUGGCGGAAAUAAGAAUGUCGUAUCUUGCGAUUCACACACACAAAAAAAAUCUUAAGUCCGCCAUGUUUAGAUUUUCCUGCCUUAACGCUGUUUCACACUCCCGCCGACAGACGGCGUAGUGUGUUGUUGACAUAUUUCGUUCAACCAAUGGCAGCGCUCGAUACAUACGUACUCAAGAGACAGUAGCCAAUCACAGGAACCUCAACACCAGUGCAGCACGUGGCCCGUGACAGAGGCAGGCGCUGUCUGUGACAGAGGCAGGCGAUGUUGUCUGCCCCACCGGGAGUACGGAGAUGAAGUGAGGAAGUUCAGGAGACUGAGUGUCACCCGUAAGUGUAAUGGGUGCUACAACACCUAGCAGCCCAUAUGUCCCAGCAGUGGUGCAGCGUCGGACCCUUAAACUUCCAGGCAGGAGACACAAGAUAAAAGAAUCUGAAGAAGCAAGGCCAAGCAUAAUUAUAUUACUGGAUAGUUUGCAGAAAUGUGUAGAUUUCCUUGAAUAGUUUCAACCAGAAUGACUGCAAUAGCUGGAGCUUUUCAGGACUUUGUUGAAUAUUGCAGGGCAUGGAAUUCUGUAUUUCUUAUGCAUCAUUAAAGGUCUCUUUUGCUUUCUUCAAACAUGUUUUGUAUUUGCAAUUUAUUUAAUUGUUUUCUAUAGGAAAUAACAUACAAAAAGAUGUUUAAUAGCAGACUGUGAAGAAUUGCUCCAAAUAGUACACACCACAGGUGCUAUAUGCUUUACAUUUUAUUAAGUGUAUAAUAAGCUCAGCCAUAUUGGGUAGGCGGUGGCGUAGGUGGUAGCGUACUGGGCUCACAUUCACCGCGUGAUGGACGACGCGGGUUCGAAUCCCCACGCUACCACUCGGAUUUUUCAGUCACCGCCGAGUGGCUUAAAACUACCCACAUGCUGUCCUGAAGACCACCCAUCAACCCGGACUCUAGAGGAAGCCGUCCAAGCGAAUCAAGAACGAGUUCCGGGGGGCAGCAUGAGCCAAUGCAAGAUGGCGCCACUAUAAA